ensembl:lncRNA
GGCCAUGGCAACUCAGCCUGACUUCCUGCCCCUCGCGCCGCUCAGCUUUGGAUCCAUCGCUGCCCACUCACCUGCUCCCUGUACUGGAAGCGGAGCAGCACAAAUCUCCCAGGAACGCAGGGACAUCAGUAGCAGGAGGAGGACAAGGCGGGAGGGGCCGUGGCCCCCCACACCUGUGCCAUGCUGCCACCACCACCGCUGCAGCCACAGCAAGUGCUGCCGUUGGGUCAGGCGCCGAGCAAUGCCUGUGCCAUGGGACAGCAUCACAACUGGGCCUUGUGACAUCACAGCUCUGCACAGCCAUGUAGCGGGGCAUUGUGACCUCACGGCCCCGUGAAGCCGGGUGGAGGCUGCCCGUGAGCCGCUCCUCUUGUGAUGCACUGCACCAGGGCUGGUGGGGCCAGUGCUUACAUCAUAGAAACAUAGAAUCAUGGAAUGGCUUGGGUAGGAAUAGACAUUAAAGAACUUUUACCUCCAACUGCGCUGCUGUGGGCAGGGAUACCGCCCACUGAGUCAGCCUGCCCAGGGCUCCAUCCAGCCUGGCCUUGAACGCUUCCAGAGACCGGGGCAUCCACAACUUCGCUUGGCAAACUUUUAUAGUGCCUUGACAACCCCGAGAGGGAAUUAUUACUCUAAUAUUAUUAUAUUAUUAUUAUUACUCUGCGUGUGUGUGUGUGUGUGUGUGUGUGUGACACAGCCAUGUGUUUGUGUGUCUGUGUGUCUGUUUGUGUGACACAGCCAUGUGUCUGUGUGUCUGUGUCUGACUCUGAGUGUCAGAACCACCAGAACCAACCACAACUACCAGAUCCCUUUCCACAGAGCUCUUCUGCAGCUGCUAUUCUCCCAGACCAUACAUAUGCCCAGCAUUGUCCUGUUCCAGGUGCAGAAUCCUUUCUGGCUCUGGCCUUCCUGUGAGUACGGUGAAGGCAAAGGGGAUGGCUGCUGCAGGUGCUGUAGGCCGCAACCCUGCAUCUCCUCAGCUCUGAGGAACCAAAGCCAAAGCGCACUCUCUCGGGCAGUCUCUCAGUUCUCCAGAUGAAC